UUUUAACAAGAACUUCAGGUGAAAAAAAACUUGGAAUGCAGCGGGGGUCAAAGGUCAAUAACGACAAAAGGAUGACCCGUCCGUCAAAAUAAAGAAUGGUCUUGAACUAUUAACAAAAACAGGUGGGGACUGACUCCAGGCCAGAAAGGUGGAUGGAAUCAAUCCCAUGGGCCAGAAAAUGACAGACAACUGGGGAGGUGAUUAAAUCUAAGGGUGGAAGAGGAGAACUUCAUGAUGAGAGGGAUGAGUUGAUCCUUUCGCUCUGCUCCUGGCUCUUGAAAAGAGCGGAGACAGGCUCUCAGCAUGGUACGCGAGUAUCCUCUACGCCUCAAGGUCCUAAACAACACUCUAGUGGCUUCGUAGAAGUCACAGG